rnacentral:rRNA from 1 species
GAUGAACGCUGGCGGCGUGCCUAAUACAUGCAAGUCGAGCGAACAGACGAGGAGCUUGCUCCUCUGACGUUAGCGGCGGACGGGUGAGUAACACGUGGAUAACCUACCUAUAAGACUGGGAUAACUUCGGGAAACCGGAGCUAAUACCGGAUAAUAUAUUGAACCGCAUGGUUCAAUAGUGAAAGACGGUUUUGCUGUCACUUAUAGAUGGAUCCGCGCCGCAUUAGCUAGUUGGUAAGGUAACGGCUUACCAAGGCAACGAUGCGUAGCCGACCUGAGAGGGUGAUCGGCCACACUGGAACUGAGACACGGUCCAGACUCCUACGGGAGGCAGCAGUGGGGAAUCUUCCGCAAUGGGCGAAAGCCUGACGGAGCAACGCCGCGUGAGUGAUGAAGGUCUUCGGAUCGUAAAACUCUGCUAUUAGGGAAGAACAAAUGUGUAAGUAACUAUGCACGUCUUGACGGUACCUAAUCAGAAAGCCACGGCUAACUACGUG